rnacentral:lncRNA from 1 species
UUCAUUUAAUUUCUUCACUAUCGCCCUUACUCGGUGUACGAUCCAUUAGGUUCUAAUUAGCGAGGUAGUGGGCGAUUGUUACUCUUAACAAUCGAUUGUGAAUUGAAACCACAUUUCAAUUCUCCCUUAAAAUUAGUGUUUGCUAAUCAUUAGGGCUUCCACAAACCAUGAGUGACACCUAGCAGUAUGUCAUGGUUACCCAAGCUAAGUAGAAGUGGUUGGAGAACCUAUCCAAUUACAAUUACAAUGUAAUACGGUCCUUCUCUAAUACAAUACUCUUAAUCACAUUGUUUGAAUGAUAGUUUGUUUCAUGUCUACUAUC